GGUAAAAUGGCUGAAUUUAGGCAAUAAACUGUAAAUUUAUUUAUGGGAUAAAAAUAUCUCUUUUACCA
rnacentral:tRNA from 1 species